rnacentral:rRNA from 1 species
AUACGGAGGGUGCGAGCGUUAAUCGGAAUUACUGGGCGUAAAGCGCGCGUAGGCGGAUAAUUAAGUCAGAUGUGAAAUCCCCGGGCUCAACCUGGGAACUGCAUUUGAUACUGAUUAACUUGAGUAUGGUAGAGGUGAGUGGAAUUUCCGGUGUAGCGGUGAAAUGCGUAGAGAUCGGAAGGAACACCAGUGGCGAAGGCGACUCACUGGGCCAUUACUGACGCUGAGGUGCGAAAGCGUGGGUAGCAAACAGGAUUAGAAACCCUAGUAGUCC